GUGUGCGAGUGUGUGUGCGCCGGGCGGGCGGGCACUGCAGCUUCUUCCUCCGUGGAGCGGAGAGCGAGAGAGAGCUACAGCGAACGAGAGAGCGGCGAAGGCGGGUAGAGGGGCGCGGGCGAGGCGGCGCAGCCAUCCCCGGACCAGGGGCCGCGCCGCCACCAUGCUAAACAACCUGACGGACUGCGAGGACGGCGAUGGGGGAGCCAACCCGGGUGAUGGCAACCCCAAGGAAAGCAGUCCCUUCAUCAACAGCACUGACACAGAGAAGGGAAAGGAGUAUGACGGCAAGAACAUGGCCUUGUUUGAGGUGGGCUGCUAGGGCUGUUGGGCCCCCACCUACAAUUCAUUAUCCUGAUUCAUCAGCUGCUCUCUCCCUCCCUCCCUAGGGAGCAAUACCCUCAUCUCCACCCCUCCCUUGAGUCUACCUUCUUCCUUGAGCCUCCCCAUCCCUCCUUUUCCCUCCUGGGAUUUACUCCCUCUGCUCCCUGCCCUCCUCUCCUCAUCCUACCAUUCUUACCCCGUUCUCCUCACCUGUUCCUCCUCCUUUCCCAUCUCAUCCCAACCUGAAUAGUUUCGUGCUCCUUGUCCCCAUCUCUUCCUCUGCCCCUCGCCACCCAGCUCACUCCACUUGCUCCCCCAGCCUCCUAGCACUGACACCCUCCCUCCACAGGAGGAGAUGGACACCAGCCCUAUGGUGUCCUCCUUGCUCAGUGGCCUGGCCAACUACACCAACCUGCCCCAGGGAAGUAGGGAGCAUGAAGAGGCAGAAAACAAUGAGGGUGGAAAAAAGAAGCCGGUGCAGGCCCCACGCAUGGGCACCUUCAUGGGCGUGUACCUGCCGUGCCUGCAGAACAUCUUUGGCGUCAUCCUCUUCCUGCGGCUCACCUGGGUGGUGGGCAUUGCAGGCAUCAUGGAGUCCUUCUGCAUGGUGUUCAUCUGCUGCUCCUGUACGAUGCUCACGGCCAUCUCCAUGAGUGCAAUUGCAACGAAUGGUGUUGUGCCUGCUGGUGGCUCCUACUACAUGAUUUCCAGGUCUCUGGGCCCAGAGUUUGGGGGCGCCGUGGGCCUCUGCUUCUACCUGGGCACUACCUUUGCAGGAGCCAUGUACAUCCUGGGCACCAUCGAAAUCCUGCUGGCUUACCUCUUCCCAGCCAUGGCCAUCUUCAAGGCAGAAGAUGCCAGUGGGGAGGCAGCAGCCAUGCUGAACAACAUGCGUGUUUACGGCACCUGUGUGCUCACCUGCAUGGCCACUGUGGUGUUUGUGGGUGUCAAGUAUGUCAACAAGUUUGCCCUUGUCUUCCUGGGUUGUGUCAUCCUCUCCAUCCUGGCCAUCUAUGCUGGGGUCAUCAAGUCUGCCUUCGACCCACCCAACUUCCCGUGAGUGCUGCUGCUCUGAGCCCAAGGAAUCGUCCUCCUACCUCCCUGGCCCUGUUUCAGAGUCUCUGCCAAACUCCCCCUCCCUGCCCCUCAGAAUCUCAGAGUGGUGUGGGUUGGGAGUAGCUUCCCUUGGGAGGGAAAAUCUCUCUUAGUUUGGGGGCAAUCUCUUCAGAGUGAGGUAACUUUUCUGGAGGAGGGAACAAUUUACCUUGUAAGAGUCAACUUCUUGCUGGUAGGGUGGACUUAGGAAGAAUUAAGUGGGAAUGAGUUCCAAAGCAAUGAAUGCUGUCUGUGGUAGGGAAACCUUUCCUGGGUGGGGACAACCUCCUGGAAUGGGACAAUCUCCUAGUGUUGGACAACUCCUCCAGGAUGGGAAAAGACACAGAAGUCUAGAGGGUCCAGGGACUCAGAUCCAAGUCCACUCCAUCCACUGCUCAGAGGUGGAGGGCGGCCCCCGAGACCGCUGUCCACGGUGCUGAAACACAGCAUUGCACUAAUGCGGUGCUUCUCCACCUUGGCGGCUUAUUAGAAUCACUUGGGGAGCUUAAGAAAAAAAAAAAAAAAAGCCAAU
rnacentral:sRNA from 1 species